CUCUCUCUCCCGGUGACGCAGCCUCACUCUGUCGUUAUCACUGUCACCCCGCCCAAAUUCCCCAUUCCCCUGCAACUCGCGAAUCGCGAGAAUGGAGGAGCUAGUAGAAGAUAACGGAUGGCCGCUGCCGGCGGCGAUCGCCAGGGUGGUCGGCAAGCUGCGUCUCCACCUGGGAGGCAGCAGCGACGCCCACAAGUACAGGGGCACCAUGAAGAUGCUCGAUCUGCUGGAGGACAAGCUCAGCAUCCUCCGCGGCGAGAGCCUGCAGGGCGUCGACGCCGACAGGGAGGAAGAGGCGGCCGCGUGGCUGCGGCAGGUGAAGGAGGCCGCCGACGAGGCGGAGGAGCUGGUCAACGCCAUGGAGGCUUCCGCGGCGGCCGCAGCUUCCGAUAGUAGCAGCCUCCUCCUCGGGGUGAAGUACACCGUCGGCAAGCUCGUCAGCGCGUGCUCCGAGGUCGAAUCGCUUCUUCCCGUGCCGGGCCUGGACGAGGAUGGACUGGAAACCCCGGGGGAUGACGUCGCCGCUUUGCCCCCUGGCCCUGACCAACCCUUUGUUGUUGGGCGAGAUGAGGAAAUAGGUGUCAUAUUGGAGAUGAUACUGGAUGAUGCCCGUUUCGUGGCGGAUGAAUCGGUUGAGGAGAGGGCAAGUGCUGAUGGAUCACAGAUUUCUCGGAAAGGAUGGAUCAUCGAUGCCCUCCGGAGCAUAGAUCUAUCUGACCAGAGAAACCAACCUGCAGAAUCAGCAGCAGCAUACCAGAAAGAAAUGGGCAGCAGAGUGAAAUACACCAGGGUGCAGAGCAGCACUGUCAGUUCAAUGUGCAAUCCAACUGUCAUUCCAAUUGUUGGAGUGGGUGGAGUGGGGAAAACAGCUCUUGCUCAGUUCAUCUUCGACGACGAAAGGGUGCGGGAGCACUUCCGCGGUAAUUCCGCAUGGGUGUAUUUCACUGACAACAUCAGGAAAGAAGAACCGAUGGCGCAGAUCUUUGUAUCGAUGCAACCUGAGCAUAAUAUGCUGGACCAUGCUUUCAGUCUAAACAGCCUCCGUGUCCAACUUCAGAGCGUCAUAGAAGGCAAGAGGUUCUUGCUUGUGCUUGAUGAUGUAUCUGAUGAGAUACGUGCAAUGUGGGGCGAUUUAAGGAGUGCACUGAAGAAGGGAGCACCUGGAAGUGUUGUCUUAGUAACAACCAAUCUGUAUAGUGUGGCCAGCUUUGUGGGAACUACAACUCCAGUAUUUUUGGAUUAUCUACAUUAUGAUGACCUGUGGAAGCUUUUUAAGCAUCAUGCAUUUGCCAGUUAUCAAAGUACAGAAGCUCUAGAACCAAUUGGUAGAAAAAUUGUAGAUAAAGUACAUGGAUCUCCUUUGGCAGCGAAAUUCAUUGGGGCAUCAUUAAGAAAUUGUUUGGAUGAAGCGUAUUGGAAGAGAGUCUUAGAAAGUUGGUGGUGGAAUGUUUCAAGCUGCAGCUUCGACAUUCACAUAAUAUCAUCUUUCGGAAUUUGUCACAGUGAAUUACCUGCAUAUUUGAGGCAAUGCCUGGUAUUUUGUUCAAUCUUUCCUAGAAAUUAUUUAUUUGAAAAAUAUGAGUUGAUCCAAAUGUGGAUAGCUAAUGGUUUUGUUGAACUGGACAACACUACUGUUGCAAGAAAACUGGAGGAUGUAGCUGGUGAAUGGUUUGAUGAACUAGUCAAUAAGUGCUUCUUACAACCGACAGUUUGGAAAGCUUGGUAUAUUAUGCAUAGUUGGGUUAGAGACUUUGCAAUCGCCUUAUCUUCUAAUGAAUAUCAGGGUGUUGAUUGUACAAUGGGAAAUCUCCCACGAAGUGUACGUCACUUGUCCGUAGAUAUGGAUGCUAUGAAUAUACCAUGGACCGAGUAUAGCAUUAAACAGUUGCGAUCAUUAAUAUUAUUCGGUGGCUUCCGUCAUAACAACUCUAGCAAAGGUUUCAACAACAUUUACAACAUUUUGGAGGGCAGUUAUGAUGCUGCUGAUAGCAUUUCUGAGAGGUCUUAUAACACUACUGACAAGGACACUGCUGAUAACAUUUCUGAGUGGUCCUCUUUCAGUUUUGAUGAUGGGGAAGUUGAUAUCGUUGCUAUCAUUUUGAAAAGGUAUUGUGACAUUAUUGGUAGCAUUCUAAAUAGGUCAACAAGCUUGCGCUUGUUGAGCUUAUCUAACUUGAGAGCAAAUUCAGCAACAGCAUGCAUUGGUGAUUAUCCACUUGAAGAAGAUGGCAUUGCACAAUUUGUGGAGUUCACCACAACACAUCAGAUGCUGCCCUAUUUGACUCACCUCAGAUACUUGGAUUUUUCACACAGUGGGAUAACCAAACUCCCUGAUUCAUUAUGUAGCUUGUGCAAUCUCCAAGUUCUUGGUUUGAGAGGUUGUAGAUUCACACAAUUACCAAGAAGAAUGAACUCACUAGUUGGCCUACGGCACUUGCAUGCAGAUGCAGAUACGGUUGCUUUAAUUCAUGGCAUUGGACAGCUUACCAGGCUCCAAGACUUAUAUGAAUACCGUGUUAAAGCAGAGGAUGGUCACACGUUAAUUGAGUUAAAGGACAUGAGGUAUAUCCAAGGGUCCCUUUGUAUAUCAGAUCUACAGAGGGUGGCUAAUCGAGAAGAGGCAAUUCAGGCUAACUUAGGAAGGAAGGAGUAUGUUACCUGUUUAGCUCUGAAGUGGGAUAGAAAUCAGUCUUCUAGAGGUAAAUAUAAUCUAUAUGGAAAGGAGUUGAGUCAAUUCGACAGAGGUCAAAAGCAGCCACUUCAAGCUAGCUUAGUUGAGAAGAAUUAUACUUCAGAUAUAUCAGGAUAUCUGAUGAAUCCACCAGAGGUAAUUAAACCUGAUCAAGACAUGGAGAUAUUAGAGUGUUUGUCCCCACCAAGAAAUCUGCAGACGAUAAAAUUUUUUGGCUACACAGGUUUGGCUUUUCCAGAUUGGGUCGUACAACUCCGGUAUAUAAAAGUUAUUGAGAUAAGCCAUUGUACAGAACUCCAGGUGCUUCCUCCUUUUGGACAGCUUGAGCAUCUUAGGAAACUAAUUUUGCAUGAGCUGCCCUCCAUGAAGGAUGUUAGUUCUGAUGUCUAUGGAACCUCAAAUGUGGCCUUUAAAUCUUUGGAAAUCCUGUGUUUUGAGUCUAUGGGGAAGUUGGAAAAUUGGGCAGAUUCACAGAACGAAGAAAGCUUUUCAAACCUGCAAAAUCUGCAGAUUAAUAGAUGUGAUAACUUGAGGGAACUACCUUUGAUGUCCUUGGGCUUAGCUAUCAGAAAACUCUCUCUUACGGGUUGUGGAUCAUAUGCUGAAACAGUCUUCAGGUAUUUGCAAAAACUAACUAGCCUCACACACUUGAGCAUAAAUGAUUGCUCCCAGAAGUUAAUCCUUCCAUGUCAAAACCUGAUAUCAUUGGAGAAUCUGCAUCUUUCAAAUUGUAAGGAGCUAUACUUUGAGGGUGGAAUUCUUCGUCUUAACAACCUUAAAAAUCUACAUAUUUCUGGCUGCCGCAAAAUCAUAUCGACAGUUGAGGAAGAGAUUAACCGACUGUUUUCUAACUGGGAAAUAAGGUUGGGCAAAGACCAGUCACUUGUUCUCAAAAGUGGACUCCUCAAUAUAGCCAAAGAGCUGGGUACAAAAAGGAGAGAACUCCCCCUUCCCGGUUCUCCGCAAAAAGAAGAAUUUAUGCAUACUUUACAAUAUCUCACUGACCUUACAAUGGAUAACCUUUCCCAGUCUUCAGAUCUUGAUAAUUUUCUUUGCAAGCUUUCAGCACUUCGAACUCUGUGUCUCCACAAGAUCGAUGUGAUCUCUCUUCACCAAGAGAAGUGGCUUGAGCAGAUUACAUCCCUACAAGAGCUUGAGUUCUCUUGUUGCUACCUGCUAAGGCAGCUCCCAUCAAACUUGGUCACUCUGUCAUCCCUGAAGAAGUUAAAUAUGCAGUCAUGUUUCCAAAUUCACUCGCUACCAUUGAAAGGCCUACCAGGUAACCUAAGAGAGUUACAAAUAUUAGGAUGCUCACCUAUACUAGAGGCACGAUGCCAGAAGGAAGAUGGAGAGACAUGGGUGAAGAAGAAGAGAGGGGAAUGGCAUAAAGAGACGAUAAACGAGUACCGACAGAAGAAAACAUGUGAGUUCUGGGAAGGGUGGUUAAAGUAUGAGGAAGAGUGGGUGGAGAGUGCUACAGAUCAUCUGAACGAUAAGGGAGAGUGGUUAGAGAAUGAAGAAGAGGACUGGCUGAAGAAUAAUUCAGAUGAACUGGAAAAUAAUGAAGAUGUGUGGCUCAAGAGUAGGGGCGAAGACUGGCCAAAGAUUGCUCAUAUUCCUUAUAUCCGUGUGAAUGGAGAUAUUAUACAGAAUUUUUAUCUGUGAAACUUCAGCGUGCAGCUUUCCGAAAUCUGUGUAAAGGUAUUCUUGUGUAGAAGUGUUUGACCAUUUUUUCUAGUCCAGGACAACCAACGGUGUCUUUGUGCGUUGCAGCAGAGGAACUAAUAUGAUGCAGCUACGUAACGUGACUGAUAUCCGGAGUGUCAAAGGCAUUGUCCAGACUGAACUGGUGAAAUGGGCUUCUGAAAAUGAGAUAGCCGGCAGUUGGCUCCUCUCUCAAGCUAUAUCGACGCAUCAUGCUAGCUAGUUGUUGGUUCUUGUUCGGUUAAUCUUUCUCCACAGAAAUCGGAGGAGAUCGGGGGUUAAUUUCACACCUGAAGCACUUGGAAAGCGUCAGGAAAAAAGUUCCCAUGUAACAUCUGACAUGUCUCCUGCCGCAUUCGCCUGUAAAAUUGGUGAUCAUGAUCCAGCAUCUAACUGAUAGCGCUGAUGGUUGUUCCAGGAGUGAUUUAAAAGCCAAAGAAUCGAUGAAGAGCAAUGGAAUUGACUGCGGUUUGCAGAGCUGUUGUACUUGUAUUAAGUGGCGGAGCCAGAAAUUUUCUACGCCUAGGGCUUAAGUAGGGCUCAUCUAAUAGGAUAUUGGCUUUCUAAAAAAAAUACAUGGUGAUUUAAAAGGAUUUAGGCAAGUUUAUGGUGGCAAGCCUAGGGCUUAUGCCCAAGCUGCCCUAGGCUUGCCUCCUUGCCUCCGCCCCUUAAAAGUUGUACAUGACUGAGGAAACAUCAGGCUGAGAGAUCACCUAAAUGGCGUUUUGUAAAUUGUAAUCGAUGUUAGCAUGCCUUUGAUUGUGAUGAUUUCUAAAUCAACUUGGACAA